CUACGGGAGGCAGCAGUCGGGAAUUUUGGGCAAUGGGCGAAAGCCUGACCCAGCAACGCCGCGUGAAGGAUGAAGUAUUUCGGUAUGUAAACUUCGAAAGAAUGGGAAGAACUCAAUGACGGUACCAUUUAUAAGCUCCGGCUAACUACGUGCCAGCAGCCGCGGUAAUACGUAGGGAGCAAGCGUUGUUCGGAUUUACUGGGCGUAAAGGGCGCGUAGGCGGCAAAUCAAGUCAGCUGUGAAAUCUCUGAGCUUAACUCAGAACGGUCAGCUGAUACUGCUUUGCUAGAGUGCGGAAGGGGCAAUCGGAAUUCUUGGUGUAGCGGUGAAAUGCGUAGAUAUCAAGAGGAACACCUGAGGUGAAGACGGGUUGCUGGGCCGACACUGACGCUGAGUGCGCGAAAGCCAGGGGAGCAAACGGGAUUAGAUACCCCGGUAGA
rnacentral:rRNA from 1 species